rnacentral:tRNA from 1 species
GCCAAAGUGGCGGAAUUGGUAGACGCGAUGGAUUCAAAAUCCAUUGAGCUUCAACGCUCGUGUGGGUUCGAGUCCCACCUUUGGUACUA